rnacentral:miRNA from 1 species
UAACAGUCUACAGUCAUGGCUACC